rnacentral:rRNA from 1 species
CGGUAAUUCCUGCUCCAAUAGCGUAUACUAAAGUUGUUGCAGUUAAAAAGCUCGUAGUUGGAUUUCUGCGGGGACGGAGCGGCCGGUCGCAACUUGCGACUCGAGCUAGCGCUUUCCCCGCAUCCUGCCGCGAACCGUGCUACCAUUAGUUUGGUGGCGCCGGGGAUCGGCUCGAUUACUUUGAGAAAAAUAGAGUGUUCAAAGCAGGCCACACGCCUUGAAUAAGUUAGCAUGGAAUAAUGACUAAGGACUUUGGUUCUUUUCGUUGGUGUUCGGGACUGAAGUAAUGAUUGAUAGGGACAGUUGGGGCGGUCCGUAUUCCAAAGCGAGAGGUGAAAUUCUUAGACCUUCAGAAGACGAACAGCUGCGAAAGCGUUCCGCAAGGAUGUUCCCUUUGAUCAAGAACGAAAGUUGGGGGAUCGAAGACGAUCAGAUACCGUCGUAGUCUCAACUAUAAACUAUACCAGCUAGGGAUCGGCCAACGUUUAAUUUAUCGACUUGGUCGGCACCUUAUGAGAAAUCAAAGCAUCUGGGUUCCGGGGGGAGUAUGGUCGCAAGGCUGAAACUUAAAGGAAUUGACGGAAGGGCACCACCAGCCGUGGAGCCUGUGGCUUAAUUUGACUCAACACGGGAAAACUUACCAGGUCCAGACAUAGGAAGGAUUGACAGAUUGAUAGCUCUUUCUUGAUUCUGUGGGUGGUGGUGCAUGGCCGUUUUUAGUCGGUGGAUGUGAUCUGUCUGCUUAAUUGCGUUAACGGACGAGACCCCAGCCUGCUAAAUAGCGCGGCCGAGCUUUGCUCGGUGCGAGCUUCUUAGAGGGACCAUGAUGCGCGAUAGCACAAGGAAGUUUGGGGCAACAACAGGUCUGUGAUGCCCUUAGAUGUUCUGGGCCGCACACGGGCUACACUGGCGCCUGCAACGAGCAUAUCAGCUGGCCCGAGAGGGUCUUGGCUAAUCUUUGGAACCGGCGCCGUGCUUGGGAUUGACCAUUGCAAUUGUUGGUCAUGCAACGAGGAAUGCCUUGUAAACGCGAGUCAUCAGCUCGCAUUGAAUACGUCCCUGCCCUUUGUACACACCGCCCGUCGCUCCUACCGAUGAAUGUUCCGAUGAAGUUUUCGGAGAGCACCAGAGAACGGGGCUCCGCCUUGCAGAUCUGGAGGCUCAAAGUCACUUAAAUCUGAACAUUUCGAGGAAGGAGAAGUCGUAACAAGGUAACC